rnacentral:rRNA from 1 species
AUUGAACGCUGGCGGCAGGCCUAACACAUGCGAGUCGAGCGGAUGAAGGGAGCUUGCUCCUGGAUUCAGCGGCGGACGGGUGAGAAUGCCUAGGAAUCUGCCUGGUAGUGGGGGAUAACGUCCGGAAACGGGCGCUAAUACCGCAUACGUCCUGAGGGAGAAAGUGGGGGAUCUUCGGACCUCACGCUAUCAGAUGAGCCUAGGUCGGAUUAGCUAGUUGGUGGGGUAAAGGCCUACCAAGGCGACGAUCCGUAACUGGUCUGAGAGGAUGAUCAGUCACACUGGAACUGAGACACGGUCCAGACUCCUACGGGAGGCAGCAGUGGGGAAUAUUGGACAAUGGGCGAAAGCCUGAUCCAGCCAUGCCGCGUGUGUGAAGAAGGUCUUCGGAUUGUAAAGCACUUUAAGUUGGGAGGAAGGGCAGUAAGUUAAUACCUUGCUGUUUUGACGUUACCAACAGAAUAAGCACCGGCUAACUUCGUG